GGGGUGUGCUCAGAGCAGGUGGCCUGAAGCAUGACUUCUUUGCUUACAACACACCCAAGAGGAACUUAGGGUCAUUGUGACAAGAGCUACUAAAACUUGUGACUUCCCUCUGAUCAAAUGUCCUACACAU
rnacentral:snoRNA from 1 species